rnacentral:lncRNA from 10 species
CUUCUGUGCUGUGUCUGCACUCCAGAUUCACCCCUCCCUCAAGUUCCAUCCAGGAAACUUUGUGUUCAGUUGAAGUUGUUACACAGUUCAGCUAAAAGUUUCCUCCCUGUGGUCUUUUCCCAGUUCCUCUGGCAGCACUCCCCAAGGACCUCUGUGAGACAAAGUCAGAAAUGGUUUCCCUGGGGACCAAGAGAGCCACAGGGCUCUUCUAGCUGCUUCUUCUACCCUUGUAUUUUGCUCAGCUUUCUAGAAUUGUCUCAACCCCGGGUAAAGUCAAAUCCUUCUCUUGUGAUCUGAACCUUCAGGUUCCCCAGUGAGAGUGUGUGUUUGGGGGUGGAUGAUCCCCCUUUCACACUUUCACACUUUGGCUGUCUCUCGGGGCCUGCAAGAGUGAUUCACUUCCUUCAGAGGGUCUGUGAAUUCUCUCAGAUUUCCUGCAAUAGGAAGACUCACAGAGAUACAGCAGCCUAGACUUCAACCAGCUUGUCAUCUCCAAUCAAUUAUUUGUGGAUACAUUGAGCACUGUGCUGACAGGCUCAGCUUUAAUGUCAUGAUCUGUAAUAGAACAUGUUCUUACUUCUGGAAACUGCAAAGCUGGAAGGGAUCUUAGAGGUGAUAUGGUUCCUCCUUCUCAUUUUAUACAUGAAGGAACUCAGGUCUAAGAUGCUUAGUAUUGCUCCCACUCAAGGUUCACAGCAGCAGAACAAAAAAAUCAAAAGAUUUCCAAAUAGAGCUACAAGCGAGCAGCAUUUGGAACCCCAAGGAAGGAGCAUGAUGACCCAGGAAAAUGUCAAGAAUUGGAUGUUGAACAUUAGCCUUUCAGCCACAAUCACAGACAGGAGCACUGUCUUCCAAAAUAAAGAAUAAGGUAUGAUUACAGGACUAAGCUGAACAUAAAAUUGGCCUCUAGAUGGUCCUGGUGAGGUGAAAAUGGCUAAAGGAACUUCAUCAAGAUUACCUGGAGAAAGUGGCCAGAGAUACAUUAAGGAGCAAUACGGUUUGGUGCCCAAUAGUAAAGAAGAGCAUGCAUAUCGGACAGCCAACGGGAAAGAAAAAAGGAGGGAAGACAAACAAAAAACAACAUGGCCAAAGCUUUGUUUAAAUAAUUUAAUCAGCAGCUUCAAUUUGAUCCAGAGAUAAAGGGGGAUGAAAUGAAACAAUGAGAAGGACCAGAAUAGAAAACUUGAGUAACGUGAUGAUAUCAUCAGCAUCAGUUUUCUAAGUGUUUACUAUGCAUAGGAUGUUAUGAUUAGUGUGAAGUAAGGCAGCCUUUGCCUUCAAAGAACAUUUAGGUUAGUUAGGGAGGCAGAAAAAAUGUCAGAAGAUGUCCAUACAGAUGCUAAAUGGGAGUUAUAUCAAAAUAAGUGCUUUGGGGCCAAGAGGCAAGGAAGACAGGAGUUAAGGUAAACAGAGGAUGCCAUAACUGAGGCUCAAGAGAGAGAGGCAGGGAUAUGGAACACUCUGUAGUGCAAGUAAAGAAGGAGUAACUUGAGAUUAUGUUAAAGUACUAUAAGCAAACCCAAACAAAGCAUAACAUUCUGUGAGGCAUAACAUAUUCACCCACAAACACUAAAACCAUUUGGGCCCCAGAGGCUUUUCCAGGAUGUGAAGUUGCCACCAGAUUUUCAACAAGCAAACGACAAUUUGUUGAAGGUAUGUUGUACACGCUAAGACAACAUUUUUGUCACUUAUACUCACCAAACUUAUACUAUUCUGGCCAAAAAUCAGGUUCCAUUUUAGAAACUGGAGAACGAUGCAUCUGGUAUGAGUGAUACGAUUAAUUAGAAACAUCUCCUAUGACAAAAUGAUUAUCUAUAAAACCGUGCAUUUCAUGUUGAAUGAAUCAGAUUGCACUUAUAUAUUAUAACUUUCAGAGAAUGCCAUAUAGCUAGCAUGUGGUGGGAGUGGUCAUGUAUUCAGAAAAUGUGAAAUCAAUCUCUUUUGUUUAGA